UACGGAAGGUCCGGGCGUUAUCCGGAUUUAUUGGGUUUAAAGGGUGCGUAGGCGGAACAUUAAGUCAGCGGUAAAAUCGAGGGGCUCAACCCCUUUAAGCCGUUGAAACUGGUGAUCUUGAGUGGGCGAGAAGUAUGCGGAAUGCGUGGUGUAGCGGUGAAAUGCAUAGAUAUCACGCAGAACCCCGAUUGCGAAGGCAGCCUUCCGGCGCCCUACUGACGCUGAGGCACGAAAGUGCGGGGAUCGAACAGG
rnacentral:rRNA from 1 species